UACGUAGGGCGCAAGCGUUGUCCGGAAUUAUUGGGCGUAAAGAGCUCGUAGGCGGCCUGUUGCGUCCGCUGUGAAAUCCCGGGGCUCAACCCCGGGCGUGCAGUGGAUACGGGCUGGCUGGAGGCAGGCAGGGGAGAGCGGAAUUCCUGGUGUAGCGGUGAAAUGCGCAGAUAUCAGGAGGAACACCGGUGGCGAAGGCGGUUCUCUGGGCCUGUACUGACGCUGAGGAGCGAAAGCGUGGGGAGCGAACAGG
rnacentral:rRNA from 1 species